AAAAUAAACUAAUAUCAAAUAAAACCUAUUUAUUUAAUAUGUAAUAAAAAAAUUUAUUUUCUUUUAUACUCUAGAUAAAAAAAGCACU
rnacentral:tRNA from 1 species